rnacentral:rRNA from 1 species
GGCGAACGCUGGCGGCGUGCCUAAUACAUGCAAGUCGAACGAACUCUGGUAUUGAUUGGUGCUUGCAUCAUGAUUUACAUUUGAGUGAGUGGCGAACUAGUGAGUAACACGUGGGAAACCUGCCCAGAAGCGGGGGAUAACACCUGGAAACAGAUGCUAAUACCGCAUAACAACUUGGACCGCAUGGUCCGAGCUUGAAAGAUGGCUUCGGCUAUCACUUUUGGAUGGUCCCGCGGCGUAUUAGCUAGAUGGUGGGGUAACGGCUCACCAUGGCAAUGUUACGUAGCCGACCUGAGAGGGUAAUCGGCCACAUUGGGACUUAGACACGGCCCAAACUCCUACGGGAGGCAGCAGUAGGGAAUCUUCCACAAUGGACGAAAGUUUGAUGGAGCAACGCCGCGUGAGUGAAGAAGGGUUUCGGCUCGUAAAACUCUGUUGUUAAAGAAGAACAUAUCUGAGAGUAACUGUUCAGGUAUUGACGGUAUUUAACCAGAAAGCCACGGCUAACUACGUGCCAGCAGCCGCGGUAA